rnacentral:rRNA from 1 species
UACGGGGGGGGCAAGCGUUGUUCGGAAUUACUGGGCGUAAAGGGCUCGUAGGCGGCCAACUAAGUCAGACGUGAAAUCCCUGGGCUCAACCCAGGAACUGCGUCCGAUACUGGCAGGCUUGAAUCCGGGAGAGGGAUGCGGAAUUCCAGGUGUAGCGGUGAAAUGCGUAGAUAUCUGGAGGAACACCGGUGGCGAAGGCGGCAUCCUGGACCGGUAUUGACGCUGAGGCGCGAAAGCCAGGGGAGCAAACGGG